CGAUGGACAACAGGUUAAUAUUCCUGUACUUUCUUUAAUUGUGAUGGAGUGACGGAGAAGGAUAAGCAUACCUAUUAUUGGAUUUAGGGGUAAGUAGUUACUGGUGAUUGUAGGCAAAUCCGCAAUCUAUAACUGGGAGCUAUGAUGCAUAGGACUUUUGUCUGAAUUUGCCAAUUCCAUGCUUCCUAGAAAAGUUUCUAAACUUAAUUUUAUUGAAACCUGUACCAAGAACGGACACACGUCCCCAAGAUGAGUAUUCUAAGGCGAGCGAGAAAACUAGUGUUAAGGAACUCUGCAAAAUGACCCCGUAAGUUCGCAAGAAGGGGCGCCUAUGGUAACACAUAGGCCACAGUAAAUUAUGAGGGGCAACUGUUUAUCAAAAACACAACUCUCUGCUAAACCGCAAGGUGAUGUAUAGGGGGUGAAGCCUGCCCAGUGCCCGAAGGUUAAGUGGAUGCGUUAGCUUAUGCGAAGCGUUGAAAUGAAGCCCGGGUGAACGGCGGCCGUAACUAUAACGGUCCUAAGGUAGCGAAAUUCCUUGUCGGCUAAAUACUGACCUGCACGAAAGGCAUAAUGAUCUCUCAACUGUCUCAACACUAGACUCGGUGAAAUUAUGGUCCCAGUGAAAACGCUGGGUUCCCGCAUCAAGACGAAAAGACCCCAUGGAGCUUUACUAUAACUUCGUAUUGGAAUUUGGCCUAACAUGUGUAGGAUAGGUGGGAGACUUUGAAGCUGAGACGCCAGUAGCAGUGGAGUCAACCUUGAAAUACCACCCUUGUUAUGUUGAAUUUCUAACUUACCAUCAUAAUCAGGUGGGAGGACAGUGCGUGGUGGGUAGUUUGACUGGGGCGGUCGCCUCCUAAAGAGUAACGGAGGCGUUCAAAGGUACACUCAGUACGGUCAGAAACCGUAUGUAGAGCGCAAAGGCAGAAGUGUGCUUGACUGUGAGACAUACAAGUCGAGCAGGUGCGAAAGCAGGACUUAGUGAUCCGGCUGUACAUUGUGGAAUGGCAGUCGCUCAACGGAUAAAAGUUACCCUGGGGAUAACAGGCUAAUCUUGCCCAAGAGAUCACAUCGACGGCAAGGUUUGGCACCUCGAUGUCGGCUCAUCGCAUCCUGGAGCUGGAGUCGGUUCCAAGGGUUGGGCUGUUCGCCCAUUAAAGCGGUACGCGAGCUGGGUUCAAAACGUCGUGAGACAGUUUGGUCCCUAUCUGAUGUGGGCGUUGGAAUAUUGAUGAGAGCCGCUCUUAGUACGAGAGGACCGGAGUGGACGUACCGCUGGUGUUCCAGUUGUUCCGCCAGGAGCAUGGCUGGGUAGCUAAGUACGGAAAGGAUAACCGCUGAAAGCAUCUAAGUGGGAAGCCUCCUCAGAGAUUAGUAUUCCCUUGAAAUUCCUUAUAGACUAUGAGGUUGAUAGGCUGGAUGUGUAAGCACAGUAAUGUGUUGAGCUGACCAGUACUAAUAAAUUGAAAGGUUUAAAAG
rnacentral:rRNA from 1 species